rnacentral:rRNA from 1 species
AGAGUUUGAUCAUGGCUCAGAACGAACGCUGGCGGCGGGGUUUAGGCAUGCAAGUCGCGCGAGAAAGCCGCAAGGCAGUACAGCGGCGUAAGGGUGAGUAAUGGUUCGUCAACGUACCGAGCAGACGUGAAUAAUUUCCCGAAAGGGAUUGUAAUGCACGAUGAGACCACGGGCUGUACGCAGUCUGGGGUCAAAGGUCGGGGAUCCUUCGGGACCCGGCGCUGUUUGAGCGGACGAACUCUGAUUAGCUAGUUGGCGGGGUAACGGCCCACCAAGGCGAUGAUCAGUAGCCGGGCUGAGAGGCUGUCCGGCCACACGGGCACUGAGAUACUGGCCCGACUCCUACGGGAGGCUGCAGUCGCGAAUUUUUCACAAUGGGCGCAAGCCUGAUGAAGCCACGCCGCGUGCGGGAUGAAGGCCCUCUGGGUUGUAAACCGCUGUCGAGGGAGGGGAACCGCUGCAAGUGAAUAGCUUGCAGUCUGACUGCUCUCUGAAGGAAGCCCCGGCAAAACAUGUGCCAGCAGCCGCGGUAAUACAUGUGGGGCAAGCGUUGUUCGGAAUUACUGGGCAUAAAGGGUGCGUAGGUGGUUUGUUAAGUCAGGGGUGAAAUCCCGCGGCCCAACCGUGGAACUGCCUUUGAUACUGGCGAACUUGAGUGCGUGAGGGGUAGGGGGAACGAGCAGUGUAGCGGUGAAAUGCGUAGAUAUUGCUCGGAAGGCCAGAGCCGAAGGGGCCCUACUGGUGCGCAACUGACACUGAGGCACGAAAGCGUGGGGAGCAAACAGGAUUAGAUACCCUAGUAGUCC